UGCGUAGGCGGAAUAUUAAGUCAGUGGUGAAAUCCUGCGGCUCAACCGUAGAACUGCCAUUGAUACUGAUAUUCUUGAAUGUAGUUGAGGUAGGCGGAAUGUGUAAUGUAGCGGUGAAAUGCUUGGAUAUUACACAGAACACCGAUUGCGAAGGCAGCUUACUAAACUAUGAUUGACGCUGAGGCACGAAAGCGUGGGGAGCGAACAGUAUUAGAUACCCUGGUAGUCC
rnacentral:rRNA from 1 species